ACGUGUGCACAAUAAAAGAAGAAAGAAGAGGAAGAAAAAAAAAAAACAGGGAUAUAGAACUGGACUUCUUUGUUCUUUUUUUCUUGAGAACAAGUAUUUCAUCCCUUUCUAUCCUACUCUGAUUCUGUUGAAGUAGGAUGGUAGGCAAAGAGAAGUGCAAAUUAGCAGUAUUCCUCUGUGAGAAACUGACAGGCAGAAAAGAAAGCACCACAAAAAGCACAGAAGCAAGAAACUUGUCUCAUCUUCUGUCUUUUUUUA
rnacentral:ribozyme from 14 species